rnacentral:rRNA from 1 species
CGCCUACGACCAUACCACGGUGAAUACACCCGUUCUCGUCCGAUCACGGAAG